UUCAGAGAUGAUGCUUGCUUCAGCCGUAAA
rnacentral:piRNA from 1 species